rnacentral:rRNA from 1 species
UACAGAGGGUGCGAGCGUUAAUCGGAAUUACUGGGCGUAAAGCGUGCGUAGACGGUUAUGUAAGUCGGGUGUGAAAGCCCCGGGCUCAACCUGGGAAUUGCAUUAGAGACUGCGUAGCUAGGGUGCGGAAGAGGGAAGCGGAAUUUCCGGUGUAGCGGUGAAAUGCGUAGAUAUCGGAAGGAACACCAGUGGCGAAAGCGGCUUCCUGGUCCAGCACCGACGUUCAGGCACGAAAGCGUGGGGAGCAAACAGG